rnacentral:rRNA from 1 species
AUAACGACUCUCGGCAACGGAUAUCUCGGCUCUCGCAUCGAUGAAGAACGUAGCGAAAUGCGAUACUUGGUGUGAAUUGCAGAAUCCCGUGAACCAUCGAGUCUUCGAACGCAAGUUGCGCCCUAAGCCUUCUGGCCGAGGGCACGUCUGCCUGGG